GGGGCUGUCCCGGUUUUGACAGCAUAGAUCUUUGAAAGUGUAAGCAUGCAGUGCAUUGUGUAAUCAGCACUUUAAUCUUGAAUACUCAACCUAUAAAUGGCAAUACUCAGUAUGCCAUGGCUGCCUAAUCAGUGAUUAGUUAGUCAUUAGGGCCGCGGAUGCAGGUUGUCCUGUUACCAAGCUUCGCCGCCGACUCAAAAACAAAACAGGAUGCUGUUGUAGCGCGCUGGAGCUACAACAAAAGAUCACAGCUAAGUUGUAGAUUGGUUUGUUCGUUUCCUGUCUACAGCCGACAACUAAUAAUGAAAUAAGCAUGUAGAAAGCUUUUGCGGAAUAUGUUUGGACGCGGGUUCGAUUCCCGCCAGCUCCACUU
rnacentral:tmRNA from 1 species